UACGGGAGGCAGCAGUGGGGAAUAUUGCACAAUGGGCGCAAGCCUGAUGCAGCCAUGCCGCGUGUAUGAAAAAGGCCUUCGGGUUGUAAAGUACUUUCAGUCGUGAGGAAGGUGUUAAGGUUAAUAACCUUAGCAAUUGACGUUAGCGACAGAAGAAGCACCGGCUAACUCCGUGCCAGCAGCCGCGGUAAUACGGAGGGUGCGAGCGUUAAUCGGAAUUACUGGGCUAAAGGGCACGCAGGCGGUUAAUUAAGUUGGAUGUGAAAUCCCCGGGCUUAACCUGGGAAUGGCAUUCAAGACUGGUUAGCUAGAGUCUUGUAGAGGGGGUUAGAAUUCCAUGUGUAGCGGUGAAAUGCGUAGAGAUGUGGAGGAAUACCGGUGGCGAAGGCGGCCCCUGGACAAAGACUGACGCUCAUGUGCGAAAGCGUGGGGAGCAAACGAGGAUUAGAUACCCGU
rnacentral:rRNA from 1 species